rnacentral:rRNA from 1 species
GAUGAACGCUGGCGGCGUGCUUAACACAUGCAAGUCGAACGAAGCACUUUAUUUGAUUUCCUUAGGGACUGGUUAUGUUUUGACUGAGUGGCGGACGGGUGAGUAAAGCGUGGGUAACCUGCCUUGUACAGGGGGAUAGUAGUUGGAAACGGCUGCUAAUACCGCAUAAGCGCACAGCAUCGCAUGAGGCAGUGGGUAAAAAUUCGGUGGUAUAAGAUGGACCCGCGUUGGAUUAGCUAGUUGGUGAGGUAACGGCCCACCAAGGCGACGAUCCAUAGCCGGUCUGAGAGGGUGAUCAGCCACACUGGGACUGAGACACGGCCCAGACUCCUACGGGAGGCAGCAGUGGGGAAUAUUGCACAAUGGGCGAAAGCCUGAUCCAGCAACGCCGCGUGAGUGAUGAAGGCCUUAGGGAUGUAAAGCUCUAUUAGCCGGGAUGAUAAUGACGGUACCGGAAGAAUAAGCUCCGGCUAACUCCGUG